rnacentral:rRNA from 1 species
AGUGAACGCUGGCGGUAGGCCUAACACAUGCAAGUCGAACGGCAGCACAGUAAGAGCUUGCUCUUACGGGUGGCGAGUGGCGGACGGGUGAGGAAUACAUCGGAAUCUACUUUUUCGUGGGGGAUAACGUAGGGAAACUUACGCUAAUACAGCAUACGACCUACGGGUGAAAGCAGGGGAUCGUCGGACCUUGCGCGAUUGAAUGAGCCGAUGUCGGAUUAGCUAGUUGGCGGGGUAAAGGCCCACCAAGGCGACGAUCCGGAGCUGGUAUGAGAGGAUGAUCCGCCACACGGGAACUGGGACACGGUCCAGACUCCUACGGGAGGCAGCAGUGGGGAAUAUUGGACAAUGGGCGCAAGCCUGAUCCAGCCAUACCGCGUGGGUGAAGAAGGCCUUCGGGUUGUAAAGCCCUUUUGUUGGGAAAGAAAAGCAGCAGGUUAAUACCCCGCUGUUCUGACGGUACCCAAAGAAUAAGCACCGGCUAACUUCGUG